UAACUGUCUAUACAGACCAUGC
rnacentral:siRNA from 1 species